AACGAACGCUGGCGGCAGGCUUAACACAUGCAAGUCGAGCGCCCCGCAAGGGGAGCGGCAGACGGGUGAGUAACGCGUGGGAAUCUACCCAUCUCUACGGAAUAACGCAUGGAAACGUGUGCUAAUACCGUAUACGUCCUUCGGGAGAAAGAUUUAUCGGAGAUGGGUGAGCCCGCGUUGGGUUAGCUAGUUGGUGGGGUAAAGGCCUACCAAGGCGACGAUCCAUAGCUGGUCUGGGAGGAUGAUCAGCCACACUGGGACUGAGGCACGGCCCAGACUCCUACGGGAGGCAGCAGUGGGGAAUAUUGGACAAUGGGCGCAAGCCUGAUCCAGCCAUGCCGCGUGAGUGAUGAAGGCCCUAGGGUUGUAAAGCUCUUUCACCGGUGAAGAUAAUGACGGUAACCGGAGAAGAAGCCCCGGCUAACUUCGUGCCAGCAGCCGCCGUAACAC
rnacentral:rRNA from 1 species